rnacentral:rRNA from 1 species
UACGUAGGGGGCUAGCGUUGUCCGGAAUCAUUGGGCGUAAAGCGCGUGUAGGCGGUCCGGUAAGUCCGCUGUGAAAGUCGGGGGCUCAACCCUCGAAUGCCGGUGGAUACUGUCAGACUAGAGUACGGAAGAGGCGAGUGGAAUUCCUGGUGUAGCGGUGAAAUGCGCAGAUAUCAGGAGGAACACCCAUUGCGAAGGCAGAUCUCUGGGCCGUAACUGACGCUGAGGAGCGAAAGCAUGGGGAGCGAACAGG